CACCAGAGCAGUGUGCACUGUGCCCACUAGGACAAGCUAAAUUGCUCGUGAGAGCAGUUUGCAGCAUCGCCCUGAGAGAGGCCACGCCAGUAAGAGGUGGGAUAGAGCGAGAUUGUCUGCGAGGGAGUGGCAUCCUUGUCAGCUCACGAGCACAGUGACUGCGUUUACCCCUCCUGGACGUGGGGAUCUGAACGCCACCCGUGGCCCAGCAAGGCCAGCUCAGUAGGUGCUCUGUGCCACACGGUGUCACCAGCACCUUCCUGCUUGGGUUUGAAAGUAGCUCUAGAAAUCCUCUCACCCAUAUUCUGCAUUGCCAACGGCACUUUGCCAAUUAAAAGGACAAG